rnacentral:rRNA from 1 species
UACGUAGGGGGCAAGCGUUGUCCGGAAUCAUUGGGCGUAAAGAGCGUGUAGGCGGCUCGGUAAGUCCGCUGUGAAAGUCCAGGGCUCAACCCUGGAAUGCCGGUGGAAACUGUCGAGCUAGAAUCCGGAAGAGGAGUGUGGAAUUCCCGGUGUAGCGGUGAAAUGCGCAGAUAUCGGGAAGAACACCCGUGGCGAAGGCGGCACUCUGGGACGGUACUGACGCUGAGACGCGAAAGCGUGGGGAGCGAACAGG